CUGAUAUAUAUUAAUUUGUAAGACAAUUAGAGGAAAUAAAUUGAAAUGUAUAUUUAGGGGAAAUAAAUUGAAGGGUGUACAUGUAUAAUCCGUUAAACUCAGGUAAGGUACAUUGUGUAGGUAACUUGCAAACUGGCAAGUUGAUGUAUCAGGUUGGGUAGGGGUUGCAAGUUGGAGGAUGUCAUAUAUAAACAUGUAGGAGAGGUAUAUUUUACGUGAAAGAUAUAUAAUCAGUGGCAUAGCGUGGGCGGGUUCCACUGGCAUGGUUGCCCUGGACACAAAAUUCUGGACUGGUGAAAGGGAUUCGGGGAGUAUUAAUGGUCCACUGGUUAGGGGGCGCAAUACUUGUCUUGCCCCAGAUGCUGGCAACCUGUGCUACGCCACUGUAUAUAAUCAAGUCAUGUAGAGGAGAUAGCUUCGAAAAAAAUGUUAUAUAAGUCCUGUAGGGGAGGUAACUUGAAUGAUGUGAUGUAUCGUCAAGUAGGGGAGGUGAUCUGGCAGAUGUGCUGUAUCAAGUUGGGUAGAUAGGUAACUUGAAUGAUGUGAUGUAUGAUCAAGUAGGGGAGGUGAUCUGGCAGAUGUGCUGUAUCAAGUUGGGUAGAGAGGUAACUUGAAUGAUGUGAUGUAUCGUCAAGUAGGGGAGGUGAUCUGGCAGAUGUGCUGUAUCAAGGUGGGUAGGGGAGGUAACUUGAAUGAUGUGAUGUAUCAUCAAGUAGGGGAGGUGAUCUGGCAGAUGUGCUGUAUCAAGUUGAGUAGGGAGGUAACUUGAAUGAUGUGAUGUAUGAUCAAGUAGGGGAGGUGAUCUGGCAGAUGUGCUGUAUCAAGUUGAGUAGGGAGGUAACUUGAAUGAUGUGAUGUAUUAUCAAGUAGGGGAGGUAACUUGCAGAGUAUGUGAUAAGCUGAUUCCACAGAGGGAAACUGGAGAAUGUGAUAUAUCAAUUCAUACAGGGGAAGUAAGUUGGAGAGUAUUUUAUUUAUUGAACUCAGGGGAGAUAAGCUGGAAGGUAUGCAAUGUCAUAUGUCGGGUACAUGUAAGGGAGGCAAUUUGGAGGUGUAUGAUGUUUUGAGUGGUCUAAGAGAGACGCUUGGUGGGUGGUUUGAUAUCUAAAAGUAGGUAAAUGACAUAAUAUGUUGCUUACUAUGAUAUUUCAUUAAAAAAAAAAGUCAUAAUGGUAAAAGUGAUUAGUAUUCUGAGUAGGAUAAUAGAUAAUGAAAUAAAUAACACCAAAUAUUUAUAGUUAACCUAUAUUUAUUUUUGUCAUGGUAGUUAGCAAGUGACUUUACUAACUAAUAAUAGCAGUCACGUUUCCCUGUCAACUUUGUCCUAUUUUUCACAGAAUAUAUUAUGACAUAGAAAUUGAAUUGAAAUACAUGCAAAAGUUAAUGGUGGUAAUAAGCUAAUGUUUAAUAUUGUUAUUCUGAUUGUCAUAACUGUUUUGUCAUCCAGAUUACAUGUAAAGGGUAUAAAAAUAAAUCUGUGAUUGUACAGCAUCAAAUCACAAAAACGACAAAACACUUUUCAAGUGUGCUGCAAUAGUUGGUGAUAGUGGGCAAAAACACAGACUAUUUCGGGGCUUUAGAAUGCACCAAAGUCAAAGUGAUAAAGUUUGACCCUAAAAUAAUCCCGCCUAAAUUGAAUACAAACGUGCUGACCUCGAAACAGUUGACCUCAAAACUUCUGAAAUGUUCAGCCUUAACAGCUGUUAAUAUUACUACAUUAAAAUGAUCUUAGUGUUCUCAGAACAGACACACACACACACACACACACACACACACAAAUGUUGCACCCAAAUUGGUUAAAGUGUUUGACUAUAGUUAUUGGGCAUUGAUGUUUGUGUAUGAACCAAAUGUUUGACUAUGUUUAUUGGGCAUUCAUGUUUGUGGAUGAACCAAAUGUUUGACUAUGUUUAUUGGGCAUUCAUGUUUGUGGACCGUAGUUUGACACCCAAUAGCCGAUUAAAAAAUUAGUGCUGUGGUGUCGUUAAACAUUCAAUCAUUCAUUAUUCAUGUUUGUAGAUAAACCAAGAGUUUGACUAUGGCUAUUGGGUAUUCAUGUUUGUAGAUAAACCAAGUGUUUGACUAUGGUUAUUGGGUAUUCAUGUGUGUGGAUAAACCAAGAGUUUGACUAUGGCUAUUGGGUAUUCAUGUUUGUGGAUAAACCAAGAGUUUGACUAUGGUUAUUGUCCAUUCAUGUUUGUGGAUAAACCAAGAGUUUGACUAUGGUUAUUGUCCAUUCAUGUGUGUGGAUAAACCAAGAGUUUGACUAUGGUUAUUGUCCAUUCAUGUUUGUGGAUAAACCAAGAGUUUGACUAUGGCUAUUGGGUAUUCAUGUUUGUGGAUAAACCAAGAGUUUGACUAUGGUUAUUGGGUAUUCAUGUUUGUGGAUAAACCAAGAGUUUGACUAUGGCUAUUGGGUAUUCAUGUUUGUGGAUAAACCAAGAGUUUGACUAUGGUUAUUGGGUAUUCAUGUUUGUGGAUAAACCAAGAGUUUGACUAUGGUUAUUGUCCAUUCAUGUUUGUGGAUAAACCAAGAGUUUGACUUUGGGUAUUGGGUAUUCAUGUUUGUAGAUAAACCAAUAGUUUGACUUUGGGUAUUGUCCAUUCAUGUUUGUGGAUAAACCAGUUGGUUUUGUUUAACAACACCACUAGAACACAUAGAUUUAUUGAUCAUCGGUUAUUGGAUGUCGAUCAUGAGAAUCGAUGCAGUAGGUUCCAGAUCAUCGGUGGUCUGCUCAGGAGACCGAACACUCGCUAAUAAUUUGACUGGUACCAUGAUUGUCUUCUAUCACAUUGCACUCAUCUAAGAUUUGGCCCAAAAACCAGUCUAGCAAGCGAUGGCGAUCACUCACCCUCCCGAGUGAAAUAAUUUUCAUUUGUCACAAGCUUUACCGAGUGACAAUGACAAUUAUUUAUCGAGGGAUAUAAACAGGAUACAAAAUGGUAGCGAGUUUAAUAUCCUAUUUAUUACCCAUAAUCGAUCUUAAUUUAUAUCUCUCAACUCGUUUGGUUGAUGUUCUUGUAAGGGUGUAGUGCACCAUUUGAAAUUGGCCUUAUCAUUGGAUGUGCUUGUUUUCUAAAGCAUUUUUACAUUUCUGAAUAUUUUUGGGGUGGGAAAUUGGCUUGAUCAUUGGAUGUGCUGUGAUUUGGCCUUGUGAUAAUGACUUGACAAGCUGGCUGCAGUUCUGUUUGUAGUAAUGCGUAGAAAUACAUAACUAGAAAUAGUGUAUUAUUUCUUAUUAUAACCAAAACGUUACAGAUUUCGCUAUCGGAUGACGGAAUUAUCAUGGGAGAUACUUAGAAAUACAACCUGGGUCUAACAUAGCAACUAGAAAUGUGUAUUAUGUCUGCUUAUAACCAAAACGUUACAGAUUUCGCUAUCAGAUGACGGAAUUAUCACGGGAGAUACUUAGAGAUACAACCUUGGUCUAACAUAGCAACUAGAAAUAGUCUAUUAUGUCUGCUUAUAACCAACAUAUUUAAGAUUUUGCUACUGGAUGACAUAAUUAUCAUGAAAGAUGAUGUAAUUUAUUGUUUAAUAUGUUUUGUCAGGAAAUGUUUGUUAACUAAUUCUUAAGUCUUUUAUCUACCUCCCAUUGUUUGUUUGUUGUUUGUUUGUUUACAUGACAUUUACUUUUCUGCAAAAUAGCAAGAAUAAACUAAAACAAAACAAAA